UACACUCCUGCGGGAGGCAGCAGUGGGGAAUAUUGGACAAUGGGCGCAAGCCUGAUCCAGCCAUGCCGCGUGAGUGAUGAAGGCCCUAGGGUUGUAAAGCUCUUUCACCGGUGAAGAUAAUGACGGUAACCGGAGAAGAAGCCCCGGCUAACUUCGUGCCAGCAGCCGCGGUAAUACGAAGGGGGCUAGCGUUGUUCGGAUUUACUGGGCGUAAAGCGCACGUAGGCGGACUAUUAAGUCAGGGGUGAAAUCCCGGGGCUCAACCCCGGAACUGCCUUUGAUACUGGUAGUCUUGAGUUCGAGAGAGGUGAGUGGAAUUCCGAGUGUAGAGGUGAAAUUCGUAGAUAUUCGGAGGAACACCAGUGGCGAAGGCGGCUCACUGGCUCGAUACUGACGCUGAGGUGCGAAAGCGUGGGGAGCAAACAGGAUUAGAAACCCUAGUAGUCCC
rnacentral:rRNA from 1 species